UGGGGAAUAUUGGACAAUGGGCGAAAGCCUGAUCCAGCCAUUCCGCGUGUGUGAAGAAGGUCUUCGGAUUGUAAAGCACUUUAAGUUGGGAGGAAGGGCAGUAAGCGAAUACCUUGCUGUUUUGACGUUACCGACAGAAUAAGCACCGGCUAACUCUGUGCCAGCAGCCGCGGUAAUACAGAGGGUGCAAGCGUUAAUCGGAAUUACUGGGCGUAAAGCGCGCGUAGGUGGUUCGUUAAGUUGAAUGUGAAAGCCCCGGGCUCAACCUGGGAACUGCAUCCAAAACUGGCGAGCUAGAGUAGGGCAGAGGGUGGUGGAAUUUCCUGUGUAGCGGUGAAAUGCGUAGAUAUAGGAAGGAACACCAGUGGCGAAGGCGACCACCUGGGCUCAUACUGACACUGAGGUGCGAAAGCGUGGGGAGCAAACAGG
rnacentral:rRNA from 1 species